rnacentral:rRNA from 1 species
GACGAACGCUGGCGGCGUGCUUAACACAUGCAAGUCGAACGGAACGGCCCUGUUUGUGUGGGGUGCUCGAGUUGCCAACUGGUGAGUAACACGUGAGUUACCAGUACCUGACUUUAGGGUAACUUAAGGCAACUGGGUCUAAUACCGGAUAGGAGCUCCUGCUGCAUGGUGGGGGCUGGUAAGUUUCGGCGGUUGGGGAUGGAAAGGCGGCCUAUCGGCUUGGUGGUGGGGUAGUGGAUUACCAAGGCUUGGACAGGUAGCCGGCCUGGGCGGAUGACCUGCCACGCUGGAACUGGGCUACGGCCCGGACUCCUACGGGAGGCAGCGGUGGGGUAGAGUGCACAAUGGGCGGAAGGCUGAUGCAGCAACGCCGCGUGCGGGAUGACGGCCUGCGGGUUGGGAUGCGCUGUCGCCUGUGACGAAGCGAUAGUGACGGUACUGGGUAAAGAAGCACCGGCUAACUACGUG